AUAAAUGAUAUCCCCCGCUCUCUCUCGAAACCUCUUAGGAAAACACAAUCUUAAUUUACGCCUGCCACCACCAACGCGUUCGAUUACAGUUGGGCAUGUUCAGCACCCCUUCUCCCUACGCCUUUAUCUUCCCUAUCCUCUUUUCCCCCUGGUCUAAUGGAGGUCGGGAGCUUGCUCCGUCCACGUUGAAGUCCACAACCAAUCCAAAGGCAGUGUUGUCAUGUCUUCCAUCCCCGUGCCAUGCCUAGAGUCGUCACCGGUCUUUGUGGCUGCUCGAUUCGACAACAUAUAGUCGGACCUAGCUCAAAUCCGCCAAGAUUCGACCGAAUCCAGCUGCGAUUGGGUGAGAUCGAGCAGGAUCCGACUAGUAUCUGACUGCACGUAAGCCAUAUCCAACUAUAUCCAGUCAGUUCUAGUUAGCAGGUCAUUGGGGCAGAUGAUCAAAUUGAGUCGGGUCGGGUCGAAGGGUGCCCAGCCUAGUUGCAACAGAGACGGUGUAAAUAGUACCCCGGUGGUCGCAGGGGCCCUCCCCAUCCUCUUCUCGAUCUCCGGUGUGUGUAUGGCGGUGGCCUCCUCUCCCCGUCGGUGGUUACACUCAAUCCCUCCUUGGCAGCAUCGACUCAAGAGUAUGAUCCCGUUUAGGGAUGAGGUUUAGUUGGUUUGCUCUGCUCUAAUUGUUUUGAUGGUGCUUCUAUGAUGGGAUCUUGUGCUCAAAUAUCAACUGGGGCAUCCUCUCUGCGCUAUCCGGAGAUAGAAAUCCUCCAUGCAUUAAUGGAUUGGACUGAGGAUCUCCCUUUUCGAUUUUUGCUGGGGUUUAUGGCGAAUUGUUGCAUGAAGAUAAUCGAUUGGAAAUAUUGGUUUAGGAAAGCUUGUUACAAUUGUAUUAUUCUUACUCAAUAUGACUUUCACAUUUAUUUACCUUUGUACUAUGCCUGGUGGGUCAAUCAAUAUUUCUUGCUCUUGUAAUUUC